ACAUCAUCAGAAUGGAAAUUAUCAAGUUUACUUUAUCAUACGAUUAAUUGAUUAAUUGCUUAUUGCGACAGGCUUAACUCUAUUAGCGUUGCAAGCUAAUCAAACAGCUGCUAGCAUUAAUCUGCAAUUAUAAAUCUUCCUUUAAACCUGCUUUGGCUUCUAUAAUCUUCCUUUCCAGGGUUUCAGAAACCAACAAACUCUUUUUUCCCCCCUUCUGACCUGCAGUCAUGUUCCAUGUAAUCAUUAAUAGCAGAGCGGCGCGUUUCCACUGAAAAGGCCUCCAUUGUUCUUUGUCUACCUUCCUAUGAGAGCUUCUAGCGCUCUGUGGUUUUUUCCCCUAGACUUUUUGUUUGACAGAACCAGGAGUUAUUGGCCACAUGUGCUGCAAUGGUUUCAAUAAUAUUUACUGUUGUGUGUUUAUUUCUACGCUACAGAUGAGGCAGCACGGAGCUGUUUGCAAUUCUGGCACUAGAAAUGAGCCUUAAUGAGGUUUUAACAGGACGAUGUCGUGACUAAAACUGUCGUGGAAAUUACAAAAAAACCUCAAAACAACAUGACGAAACUGCUUUCGUUCAAAACAGAGUAAAAAUACAACCGCAGGAUGAGCAUCAGAUACCGGCUGGGGUUCGACAACAUGACUGAAAAACAUGUAAAUGCAUUUCGUAUCAGCCGAUACUGACAAUUAUUGAUCAGUUUUUUGUUUUGAAUUUCUGAAAUACAGCAAAACUGGUGGCGAGACCUUCCCCGUUUCAUCCACAGUUUUAUCUGCUUCUUGCUUUUAGGCAUUCAUCAGGCAAAGUGGAGAAACCGUAAACUGCUGCUGCGCCAGUUACUCAACAGAUUGUUGCUAGGUAUUAAGAAUGAACUUCAAAGGUUUCUGCAACCAGCUGUUGAGAACAGCGCCAUCUACCUUUUAAAAUAAGGAUCUCAGAUGAACUAAAGAGACGAUUUCCGAGGCUGCUGUGUCACGGUACAGCCACUGUUCAACACAUUUACCAGCUCAGGUCUCGGUUCGGUUGAAGUGAACUCUGGUGAGGUUCGAAAGCAAAUGUGAACACUAAGUGGACCGGAGACCGCUGCUCCAAAAGCAGGAAGUGGACUACAGUGCAGAGCAUUCUGGGUAAAUAAAACCAAAACAAGCAUUUGAGUUUACUGAUAGUAAGAAAUGGCGAAAUGGCUCGUGGUGGUUAACCAGACAAAAGAGAAAUCUUUCAACCACAACAAUCUUUCCAUUUCAUGAAGAAGGAAGUUGCACUCAUGUCUUCUUUGUGUCGCUUCCUUCAGCAGUUCUUGGUGCAGCGCCACCACAGGUAAGGAGGGGAACAGGUUUUUCAAUUAGUUUGGAUGGUUUGACAGAGCAGCGUGAAAGAGAACCGCAGCAGCUGAAAAUGUAACAAAUGUUGUGAUUUUGGUUCCCAAUCAAACUGAAUCUACAGGACUAUCAGGCGUGAAAACAUCCUAAAACUUCUGCCAAGUGCCGUAUUUUGAUUAAAUAAAAACAGGUGACCCAAAGCCAGGAGGACGACAUGUACAGUUUAGGAUGAAGAUGAGUUUAUGCGGCGCCUGAGGCAGCUUCACAUGUCUGCGUGAAAAGCUGAGCUCUGCUGGUGUACAAAACACAAAGAGAUGUCUGGAGCACUGAGGCAGGGCUAGAAAGGCCUCCAGGCUCUCGCUUAAAUCAUGACAGACGCAGACAGAAACGAUGCAGCGUUUGUUCUCCGAACACGAGGCGCGGCUUCCACUCUGACGCCGAGCGAGUCUACGGUUAUUAAUACCAACAACCUUGAGGAAGACUCCUCUGCUUCGCUGUCUGUGUGAGGAACUAGCAGUGUUGCCUUUUAGAAGCGACUGAUGGUGGUUUCCGAGAACCGUCAGAUGCUCUGGUCCCAUCCGACCCAUUUUUACUCUCUGAAUGAGUGGAAAGGUUUCCCAAGUAUUUUUUCAUCUACAUCAAAAUAAAUCCCUCUGUGACGUUUGCUAGUGACAGGUCUGUCAGGAUAACCAAGUUUGCUCCCAGAAGUUAUCGCGAUAAACAAUAAUCCAUCCAUCCAUUUUCUUACACCCUUGUCCCUCAGUGGGGUCGGGA